GUCCGCAACGAGCGCAACCCUCGCCUCUAGUUGCCAGCAUUCGGUUGGGCACUCUAGAGGGACUGCCGGCGACAAGUCGGAGGAAGGUGGGGAUGACGUCAAAUCAUCAUACCCCUUAUGACCUGGGCUACACACGUGCUACAAUGGGCGGUACAAAGGGCUGCGAACCCGCGAGGGGGAGCGAAUCCCAAAAAGCCGCUCUCAGUUCGGAUUGCAGGCUGCAACUCGCCUGCAUGAAGCCGGAAUCGCUAGUAAUCGCGGAUCAGCAUGCCGCGGUGAAUACGUUCCCGGGCCUU
rnacentral:rRNA from 1 species